UACGUAGGGUGCGAGCGUUGUCCGGAAUUAUUGGGCGUAAAGAGCUCGUAGGCGGUGUGUCACGUCGUUCGUGAAAACCUGCAGCUUAACUGUGGGCGUGCGGGCGAUACGGGCAGACUGGAGUACUGCAGGGGAGACUGGAAUUCCUGGUGUAGCGGUGGAAUGCGCAGAGAUGUGGAGGAACACCAGUGGCGAAGGCGACUCUUUGGCCUGUAACUGACGCUGAGGCGCGAAAGCGUGGGGAGCAAACAGG
rnacentral:rRNA from 1 species